rnacentral:lncRNA from 1 species
CCGGCGUGGCGAUAGACACGAAGUGUAGACAAAGAGUUUUACCCAGGUUCGGGCCACCCGGAGGUGUAAUACCCUACGUCCUUUUUUGAGUUGUAUUCACAAGUUUGAGUGCGUACAGAUCACCCGGGGAGUUCCCGGGUUGGCUACUUAGGUGAAUGCUGUGCCAUGUUCUAAUCACUCGGGAAUGCUGGGGCGCACCCUCUCGGCUAGCGCACCUGCUAGUUGCCGGGAGGCGUUCCUUCGGCUUCCCGGGACCGGGGCUCCUGAGAGUAUCUUGUACUCAGCCCUUAGGUUUAACUUCGCCAAAGGCUGCCUCCUUGAGGCAGGCUUCCCGGACUCGCCGCUUCCCGGGUGCCUUCCUGACGGGGCUUCGUCACUGGCAACCCACGCGUCCCGUAUCAGUGGGACCCCGUGGGCCACUAGUAUGACAUUUUUUUUUCACUUUCGUUUAUCGGUUUGGAACCAUCUAGGGUAGAUCUCUCAGAAGCCAUUCAACCCCAUGAACCAAAUGUGACAUGUUUUUUUUUGUUUGAACUUGAAUUUUUUUUAUGGGUGUUCUAUAGCAAUAGGGAAGUGUCCACACCAAAUUUGACAAUUUUUUGAGAAAAAAUGAAUUUUAUAGAAUUUGUAUAGCACAAGAGCCACACAUAAUGACACUUAAUCAUAGAAAUUAGGGUAUAUAACAUUUGAAUUUAUGAUUCAAAAGUUUAUUGAGGAUAAACAAUCUUAUUAUACACAUAAAAUAAGAGGUGGUGUAUUUAUUUAAAACCCAGAGAAUAUAAUAUGAAUUUAAUAGCUUAUUGGAAAUUCAUCACCAGUGGCGGUUUUUGCCGUGAGAACCGCCAUUGAUAGGUGGUACACAAACUUAGGGUCUCUAAUGAUCCUACGAAUAAUACCAGUGGCGGGUGUAGCUGCAAGUGCUCGAUAGCGGUGGCGGUUUGCCGCGCACUCACCGCCACUAGUGGUUAAAGCGUAUCAGCGGCUUACGAAUUUAUACCAAAAUUCUCUCUCAAACUUCCUAUUAUUGAAAUAAAAAGAAAAGAAUAGCAUAAAGAAAAAUGAUAGAAAAAUAGGCGAGAAAAGAAAAAUCAUACCAGUGGCUGUUGUAGUUGCCCGCACCGCCACUAGUGCUCAGUACGAGUGGCGGUUCCGUUCACUGCACCGCCACCAGUGCUCCACACUAGUGGCGGUUCUUCCGUUUUCACCGCCACUAGUGCUCCUCAGCGCGAGCUUCCACGAAGCGAGUUGGGAGUUUAGUCUCACCUCGCUUGUUUACAGCCGUUUCGACCAUCAUAAAUAGGAAUCUUCAACUCGGUCGUCACUUCCGAUUCAAUUCCCCGUAGUACUCUGCUCUGUUCCUGGCAUGUGGGCCCGGUUGUGCUCUAUUCCUGGCCUGUGGGCCCGGUUGUCGGUCCGAUUGUACUUCGUGGGCUCGGUCAAAGCCCUAUGUGCCCGGUCAAACCGGCAUUAGUAGGUAGUAGGC